rnacentral:rRNA from 1 species
UCGGAUCGCAGCCUGCAACCCGGCUGCGUGAAGCUGGAAUCGCUAGUAAUCGCGGAUCAGAAUGCCGCGGUGAAUACGUUCCCGGGUCUUGUACACACCGCCCGUCACACCAUGGGAGCCGGAAACGCCCGAAGCCAGCGGCCCAACCGCGAGGAGGGAGCUGUCGAAGGCGGGUCCGGUGACCGGGGUGAAGUCGUAACAAGGUAAC